UGGUCGGGAUACUCACU
rnacentral:tRNA from 1 species